AUGGCUCAGGAUGAACGCCGGCGGUGUGCCUAAUACAUGCAAGUCGUACGCACUGGCCCAACUGAUUGAUGGUGCUUGCACCUGAUUGACGAUGGAUCACCAGUGAGUGGCGGACGGGUGAGUAACACGUAGGUAACCUGCCCCGGAGCGGGGGAUAACAUUUGGAAACAGAUGCUAAUACCGCAUAACAACAAAAGCCACAUGGCUUUUGUUUGAAAGAUGGCUUUGGCUAUCACUCUGGGAUGGACCUGCGGUGCAUUAGCUAGUUGGUAAGGUAACGGCUUACCAAGGCGAUGAUGCAUAGCCGAGUUGAGAGACUGAUCGGCCACAAUGGAACUGAGACACGGUCCAUACUCCUACGGGAGGCAGCAGUAGGGAAUCUUCCACAAUGGGCGCAAGCCUGAUGGAGCAACACCGCGUGAGUGAAGAAGGGUUUCGACUCGUAAAGCUCUGUUGUUGGAGAAGAACGUGCGUGAGAGUAACUGUUCACGCAGUGACGGUAUCCAACCAGAAAGUCACGGCUAACUACGUGCCAGCAGCCGCGGUAAUACGUAGGUGGCAAGCGUUAUCCGGAUUUAUUGGGCGUAAAGCGAGCGCAGGCGGUUGCUUAGGUCUGAUGUGAAAGCCUUCGGCUUAACCGAAGAAGUGCAUCGGAAACCGGGCGACUUGAGUGCAGAAGAGGACAGUGGAACUCCAUGUGUAGCGGUGGAAUGCGUAGAUAUAUGGAAGAACACCAGUGGCGAAGGCGGCUGUCUGGUCUGCAACUGACGCUGAGGCUCGAAAGCAUGGGUAGCGAACAGGAUUAGAUACCCUGGUAGUCCAUGCCGUAAACGAUGAGUGCUAGGUGUUGGAGGGUUUCCGCCCUUCAGUGCCGGAGCUAACGCAUUAAGCACUCCGCCUGGGGAGUACGACCGCAAGGUUGAAACUCAAAGGAAUUGACGGGGGCCCGCACAAGCGGUGGAGCAUGUGGUUUAAUUCGAAGCUACGCGAAGAACCUUACCAGGUCUUGACAUCUUGCGCUAACCUUAGAGAUAAGGCGUUCCCUUCGGGGACGCAAUGACAGGUGGUGCAUGGUCGUCGUCAGCUCGUGUCGUGAGAUGUUGGGUUAAGUCCCGCAACGAGCGCAACCCUUAUUACUAGUUGCCAGCAUUAAGUUGGGCACUCUAGUGAGACUGCCGGUGACAAACCGGAGGAAGGUGGGGACGACGUCAGAUCAUCAUGCCCCUUAUGACCUGGGCUACACACGUGCUACAAUGGACGGUACAACGAGUUGCAAACUCGCGAGAGCAAGUUAAUUUCUUAAAGCCGUUCUCAGUUCGGACUGUAGGCUGCAACUCGCCUACACGAAGUCGGAAUCGCUAGUAAUCGCGGAUCAGCAUGCCGCGGUGAAUACGUUCCCGGGCCUUGUACACACCGCCCGUCACACCAUGGGAGUUUGUAACGCCCAAAGUCGGUGGCCUAACCUUUAUGGAGGGAGCCGCCUAAGGCGGGACAGAUGACUGGGGUGAAGUCGUAACUAGGUAACC
rnacentral:rRNA from 1 species